UACGAGGGGGGCAAAUGUUGUUCGGAAUCACUGGGCGUAAAGGGAGCGUAGGCGGGUUUCUAAGUCAGGUGUUUAAUCCCGGGGCCCAACCCCGGACAGGCACUUGAAACUGGGAAUCUUGAAUAGUGGAGAGGUCAGUGGAAUUGGGGGUGUAGCGGUGGAAUGCGUAGAUAUCUGGAGGAACACCGGUGGCGAAGGCGGCAUCCUGGACCGACACUGACGCUGAGGAGCGAAAGCCAGGGGAGCAAACGGG
rnacentral:rRNA from 1 species